rnacentral:rRNA from 1 species
GAUGAACGCUAGCGGCAGGCUUAAUACAUGCAAGUCGAGGGGUAGCAAGAUUGUAGCAAUACAAUUGUUGACGACCGGCAAACGGGUGCGGAACACGUACACAACCUUCCUACAAGUGGGGAAUAGCCCAGAGAAAUUUGGAUUAAUACCCCGUAACAUAGCGAUGUGGCAUCACAUUGCUAUUAUAGCUUCGGCGCUUGUUGAUGGGUGUGCGGCUGAUUAGAUAGUUGGCGGGGUAACGGCCCACCAAGUCUACGAUCAGUAGCUGAUGUGAGAGCAUGAUCAGCCACACGGGCACGGAGACACGGGCCCGACUCCUACGGGAGGCAGCAGUAAGGAAUAUUGGACAAUGGACGCAAGUCUGAUCCAGCCAUGCCGCGUGAAGGAUUAAGGUCCUCUGGAUUGUAAACUUCUUUUAUAAGGGACGAAAAAAGGUCUUUCUAGAUCGUCUGACGGUACCUUAUGAAUAAGCACCGGCUAACUCUGUGCCAGCCGCCGCCGUAAGAC